UAUCAAAAACACAGGUCUCUGCUAAACCGUAAGGUGACGUAUAGGGGCUGACGCCUGCCCGGUGCUGGAAGGUUAAGAGGAGUGGUUAGCGCAAGCGAAGCUACGAAUCGAAGCCCCAGUAAACGGCGGCCGUAACUAUAACGGUCCUAAGGUAGCGAAAUUCCUUGUCGGGUAAGUUCCGACCCGCACGAAAGGCGUAACGAUUUGGGCACUGUCUCAACGAGAGACUCGGUGAAAUCAUAGUACCGGUGAAGAUGCCGGUUACCCGCGACAGGACGGAAAGACCCCGUGGAGCUUUACUGUAGCCUGAUAUUGAAAUUCGGUACAGUUUGUACAGGAUAGGUAGGAGCCUUAGAAGCGUGAGCGCUAGCUUACGUGGAGGCAUUGGUGGGAUACUACCCUAAUUGUAUUGGAUUUCUAACCCGCAGCACUUAUCGUGCUGGGAGACAGUGUCAGGCGGGCAGUUUGACUGGGGCGGUCGCCUCCUAAAGAGUAACGGAGGCGCUCAAAGGUUCCCUCAGAAUGGUUGGAAAUCAUUCAUAGAGUGUAA
rnacentral:rRNA from 1 species